UACGUAGGUGGCAAGCGUUGUCCGGAUUUACUGGGCGUAAAGGGCGCGCAGGCGGUCGCGCAAGUCGCGUGUGAAAGCCCCCGGCUCAACUGGGGAGGGUCACGCGAUACUGCUCGACUCGAAGGCAGGAGAGGGAAGUGGAAUUCCCGGUGUAGUGGUGAAAUGCGUAGAUAUCGGGAGGAACACCAGUGGCGAAGGCGACUUCCUGGCCUGUUCUUGACGCUGAGGCGCGAAAGCUAGGGUAGCAAACGGG
rnacentral:rRNA from 1 species